GGGUCAUUAGGUUGGUCGUGCCACCGGUACGUACUGGUCUCACUGAUUACUCCUUCCUGAAGAACCGUAAUGCCAUUAAUUUGGUGUUGCGGGGAAACAGGACUGUUACUUCGAAAAAAUUAGAGUGUUUAGAGCAAGCUAACGCUUGAAUACAUUAGCAUGGAAUAAUGAAAUAGGACGAUCGAUCCUAUUUUGUUGGUUUCUAGGAUUGACGUA
rnacentral:rRNA from 1 species